AGAACCCGUAUAAAAGGCGACGUGUCAGUCAGGCUCUCAACAGAGCAUCAGCAACUUGCUUUAACACACCAUCAACAUGAAGGUCGGUUAUGCCGGGCUCUGCCUGGCCGUUAUGGCGGCUUUCUGUUCUGCUGAUUUCGGCGGAAGUGGUGGAGGUGGAGGCGGAGGUGGAGGCGGUUCAUACUUACCCCCAACACGUGGCGGCGGAGGAGCCGGAGGCGGAUGUGGUGUAACCGGAGGACAUUGUGGAGGUGGAGGCGGUGGUGGAGGUGGAGGCGGAGGUGGAGGAGUAACAUACAGUGCGCCUUCAGGUGGUGGCGGCAGAGGGGGAGGAGGCGGUGGCCGAGGAGGCGGUGGCCGAGGAGGUGGUGGCCGAGGAGGCGGUGGCCGAGGAGGAGGUGGUGGCUCAACAUACGUCGCACCUUCAAGUGGCAGCGGCGGCAGAGGUGGUGGCGGAUUUGGAGGUGGAAGAUCAUCCGGAAGUAGCGGUGGCUAUGGAAAGUA